rnacentral:sRNA from 1 species
GCUGGGUGUGUUUGCACACGCCUGUAAUCCCAGCAGCUCGGGAGGCUGAAGUAGGAGGAUCACAAGUUUGAGGCCAGUUUCAGCAAGUUAGUGAGGCCCUAAGCAACUUAGUGAGACCCUGUAUCAA